rnacentral:ribozyme from 11 species
AGAAAGAACAAAGAAGACGAAUGUAGACCCGAUCGGACGGAAUGUUUCUUUCUUUUUUUUCUUUCUGCAUGGUUUCUUUCUUUUUCUUCUCGUCUCUCUCGUUUUUUAA